rnacentral:rRNA from 1 species
UACGAAGGGGGCUAGCGUUGUUCGGAAUUACUGGGCGUAAAGCGUACGCAGGCGGAUCGUUAAGUCGGUGGUGAAAUCCCGAGGCUCAACCUCGGAACUGCCUUCGGUACUGGCGAUCUUGAGUCCGGGAGAGGUGAGUGGAACUCCGAGUGUAGAGGUGAAAUUCGUAGAUAUUCGGAAGAACACCAGUGGCGAAGGCGGCUCACUGGCCCGGUACUGACGCUGAGGUACGAAAGCGUGGGGAGCAAACAGG